rnacentral:tRNA from 1 species
GGGGAUUUUGCUCAGUGGUAGAGCGCUUGCCUAGCAAGCACAAGGCCCUGGGUUCGGUCCCCAGCUCCA